rnacentral:rRNA from 1 species
AGAGUUUGAUCCUGGCUCAGGACGAACGCUGGCGGCGUGCCUAAUACAUGCAAGUCGAGCGGACAGAUGGGAGCUUGCUCCCUGAUGUCAGCGGCGGACGGGUGAGUAACACGUGGGUAACCUGCCUGUAAGACUGGGAUAACUCCGGGAAACCGGGGCUAAUACCGGAUGGUUGUUUGAACCGCAUGGUUCAGACAUAAAAGGUGGCUUCGGCUACCACUUACAGAUGGACCCGCGGCGCAUUAGCUAGUUGGUGAGGUAACGGCUCACCAAGGCAACGAUGCGUAGCCGACCUGAGAGGGUGAUCGGCCACACUGGGACUGAGACACGGCCCAGACUCCUACGGGAGGCAGCAGUAGGGAAUCUUCCGCAAUGGACGAAAGUCUGACGGAGCAACGCCGCGUGAGUGAUGAAGGUUUUCGGAUCGUAAAGCUCUGUUGUUAGGGAAGAACAAGUGCCGUUCAAAUAGGGCGGCACCUUGACGGUACCUAACCAGAAAGCCACGGCUAACUACGUGCCAGCAGCCGCGGUAAUACGUAGGUGGCAAGCGUUGUCCGGAAUUAUUGGGCGUAAAGGGCUCGCAGGCGGUUUCUUAAGUCUGAUGUGAAAGCCCCCGGCUCAACCGGGGAGGGUCAUUGGAAACUGGGGAACUUGAGUGCAGAAGAGGAGAGUGGAAUUCCACGUGUAGCGGUGAAAUGCGUAGAGAUGUGGAGGAACACCAGUGGCGAAGGCGACUCUCUGGUCUGUAACUGACGCUGAGGAGCGAAAGCGUGGGGAGCGAACAGGAUUAGAUACCCUGGUAGUCCACGCCGUAAACAAUGAGUGCUAAGUGUUAGGGGGUUUCCGCCCCUUAGUGCUGCAGCUAACGCAUUAAGCACUCCGCCUGGGGAGUACGGUCGCAAGACUGAAACUCAAAGGAAUUGACGGGGGCCCGCACAAGCGGUGGAGCAUGUGGUUUAAUUCGAAGCAACGCGAAGAACCUUACCAGGUCUUGACAUCCUCUGACAAUCCUAGAGAUAGGACGUCCCCUUCGGGGGCAGAGUGACAGGUGGUGCAUGGUUGUCGUCAGCUCGUGUCGUGAGAUGUUGGGUUAAGUCCCGCAACGAGCGCAACCCUUGAUCUUAGUUGCCAGCAUUCAGUUGGGCACUCUAAGGUGACUGCCGGUGACAAACCGGAGGAAGGUGGGGAUGACGUCAAAUCAUCAUGCCCCUUAUGACCUGGGCUACACACGUGCUACAAUGGACAGAACAAAGGGCAGCGAAACCGCGAGGUCAAGCCAAUCCCACAAAUCUGUUCUCAGUUCGGAUCGCAGUCUGCAACUCGACUGCGUGAAGCUGGAAUCGCUAGUAAUCGCGGAUCAACAUGCCGCGGUGAAUACGUUCCCGGGCCUUGUACACACCGCCCGUCACACCACGAGAGUUUGUAACACCCGAAGUCGGUGAGGUAACCUUUAUGGAGCCAGCCGCCGAAGGUGGGACAGAUGAUUGGGGUGAAGUCGUAACAAGGUAGCC